AGUGAAUAGAUACCCAGGUAGUCCCAGCCGUAAACGAUGUGCGUUAGGUGUAUCGGUGACCACGAGUCACCGAGGUGCCGAAAGAGAAAUCGUGAAACGUACCGCCUGGGAAGUACGGUCGCAAGGCUGAAACUUAAAGGAAUUGGCGGGGGAGCACCACAACAGGUGGAGCCUGCGGUUUAAUCGGACUCAACGCCGGGAAACUCACCAGAUAAGACAGCUGAAUGAUAGUCGGGCUGAAGACUCUACUUGACUAGCUGAGAGGAGGUGCAUGGCCGUCGUCAGUUCGUACUGUGAAGCAUCCUGUUAAGUCAGGCAACGAGCGAGACCCACGCCAACAGUUGCCAGCUCGUCCUCCGGGAUGGAGGGGACACUGUUGGGACCGUCUCUGCUAAAGAGGAGGAAGGAAUGGGCAACGGUAGGUCAGCAUGCCCCGAAUUAUCUGGGCUACACGCGGGCUACAAUGGGUGGGACAAUGGGUAUCGACACCGAAAGGUGAAGGCAAUCUCCUAAACCCAUCCUUAGUUCGGAUUGUGGG
rnacentral:rRNA from 1 species